GAUGAACGCUGGCGGCGUGCCUAAUACAUGCAAGUCGAGCGAAGCGGGGACGGGUGAGUAACACGUGGAUAACCUCCUAUAAGACUGGGAUAACUUCGGGAAACCGGAGCUAAACCGGAUACGUAUAGAUGGAUCCGGUGUGCAUGAGCUAGUUGGGAAGGUAACGGCUUACAAAGGCAACGAUGCAUAGCGGACCGGAGAGGGUGAUCGGCAAAAUGGGAACUGAGAAACGGUCAAGACUCCAACGGGAGGCAGCAGUAGGGAACCUGCCGAAAGGGGCGAAAGCCGGACGGGGCAACGCCGCGGGAUUGAUGAGGGUCUUCGGACCGUAAAACGUUGUUAUUGGGGAAGCGGUACCUAAUCAGAAAGCCACGGCUAACUACGUGCCAGCCGCCGCGGUAAUAC
rnacentral:rRNA from 1 species